ACAAAAUCGAAAACCUGUUUGUUUUUUAAUUGCUAAUCAAGCGGGCGCGACACUAUUUUUAACCGUUGCGUUGUAUGUAUCUAUAUAUAAUAUGCGUAAAUAUCUGUGCAUCGAUAUAUAACAUCUAUAUAAUAUGUGUGUAAAUUAACAAAUGCCUUACUGGAAAGUCAAAACAAAUUCUGUCCUAGAACUCAAAAAGAAGAGAAGAUCAGCCAAAAUUCCAGGUAACUAAUGCGGAAAAGAAGAGAAAUGAGAAACGACACGCAAACUAAAGCUAACGAACUACAAAAAUUAAAUAAAGAAAUAUCCAAAGCUAUUAGACAAGACACUCGAAAAUACAACCAAGGACAAAUCGAACAUACCAUUGAGAACAAUAGAAGUAUGAAAGUAUUGAGAAGAAAACUAAGAACGGGGACAAAGCAGAUAAUAAAGAUUAAAGAUAGAAAUGGUCAUUAGGGUGGAGUGAAAACUGGCUCGAAAAAAAAA
rnacentral:lncRNA from 1 species